UCAAGCGAAUAAGAGCGCAGGGUGGAUGCCUUGGCACUAAGAGCCGAUGAAAGACGUGAUAAGCUGCGAAAAGCUUCGGGGAGGAGCAAAUAUCCUUUGAUCCGGAGAUUUCUGAAUGGGGAAACCUACUUGAGCAAACCUCAAGUAUCCUUAAGCCAAUACAUAACUUAAGGAAGGGAACCCGGUGAACUGAAACAUCUAAGUAGCCGGAGGAAGAGAAAACAACAUGUGAUUCUGUGAGUAGCGGCGAGCGAAAACGGAAGAGCCCAAACCAGCGUGCGUGCAUGCUGGGGUUAAGGACUGCAACAAGUGACCGGAAGGUUAACAGAAUGGUUUUGGGAAAGCCAGCCAGAGAGGGUGAAAGCCCCGUAAGCGAAAGACGAGUUGACAUGGCGGGAUCCAGAGUACCACGAGACACGUGGAACCUUGUGGGAAGAUGCGGGGACCACCCCGUAAGGCUAAAUACUACUUAGUGACCGAUAGCGCAUAGUACUGUGAAGGAAAGGUGAAAAGGACCCCGGGAGGGGAGUGAAAGAGAACCUGAAACCCUGUGUUUACAAGCUGUCGGAGCACUAUAUAUGUGCGACGGCGUACUUUUUGUAGAACGGUCCGGCGAGUUAUGGCAUGUGGUAAGGUUAAGUACUUCAGGUACGGAGCCGAAGCGAAAGCGAGUGUGAAAAGCACGUUCUAAUCGCCUGUCAUAUACCCGAAACCGGGUGAUCUAUCCAUGUCCAGGAUGAAGUUGCCGUAAAAGGCAAUGGAGGUCCGAACCCACAUCCGUUGAAAAGGGUGGGGAUGAGGUGUGGAUAGGGGAGAAAUUCCAAUCGAACCCGGAGAUAGCUGGUUCUCCUCGAAAUAGCUUUAGGGCUAGCCUCGUAUUAGUCUAGUGGAGGUAGAGCACUGAAUUUCCUAGGGGGCGUCAAAGCCUACCGAAGAAUAUCAAACUCCGAAUGGCGGCCAGAUGGUGUCAUGGAGUCAGACUGCACGAGAUAAGUUGGGUGGUCAAAAGGGAAAGAGCCCAGACCCACAGCUAAGGUCCCAAAGUGCGUGUUAAGUGGAAAAGGAUGUGGGAUUUCGAAGACAACUAGGAUGUUGGCUCAGAAGCAGCCAUACAUUCAAAGAGUGCGUAAUAGCUCACUAGUCGAGAGGUCCUGCGCCGAAAAUGUCCGGGGCUGAAACACAACACCGAAGCUCAGGAAUGUAUUUAUACAUUGGUAGAGGAGCAUUCUUAAAGGGGCGAAGCAGUACCGAUAAGGAGCUGUGGACUUUUAAGAAGAGAGAAUGCCGGAAUGAGUAGCGAGAUGGAGGUGGGAAUCCUCCAGGCCGAAUAUCUAAGGUUUCCAGGGUAAAGCUGAUCUGCCCUGGGUAAGUCGGGACCUAAGGCGAGGUCGAAAGACGUAGCCGAUGGACAACAGGUUGAAAUUCCUGUACUGCAUUAAAUCAGAACUGUGGGGACACAGAAGGAAGGCAUGAGCCGGAAAAGGAAAAUCCGGUGCAAGCAUGGGAGGGGUAUGACAGGCAAAUCCGUCAUGCAACCCGAGAAUGUGACGCGGAGCGAACAAAAGUAGCGAAGCAUGCUUACCGGCUGUCGAGAAAAGCCGCUAUUGCGUUUAAUGUACCCGUACCGUAAACCGACACAGGUGGAUGAGGAGAGAAUCCUAAGGCCGGCGGGAGAAGCAUUGUUAAGGAACUCGGCAAAAUGACCCCGUAACUUCGGGAGAAGGGGUGCCUGCGAGAGCAGGCCGCAGAGAAUAGGCUCAAGCAACUGUUUAGCAAAAACACAGGUCUAUGCGAAACCGAAAGGUGAGGUAUAUGGGCUGACGCCUGCCCGGUGCUGGAAGGUUAAGAGGAGAGGUUAGCGCAAGCGAAGCUUUGAAUUUAAGCCCCAGUAAACGGCGGCCGUAACUAUAACGGUCCUAAGGUAGCGAAAUUCCUUGUCGGGUAAGUUCCGACCCGCACGAAAGGCGUAAUGAUUUGAGCGCUGUCUCGACAAUGCACCCGGUGAAAUUGAAAUACCAGUGAAGAUGCUGGUUACCUGCGCCAGGACGGAAAGACCCCAUGGAGCUUUACUCCAGCUUGAUACUGGGAUUCGGUAAUGCAUGCACAGGAUAGGUGGGAGGCUAUGAGUAUGGAACUCCGGUUUCAUAUGAGCCGCUGUUGGGAUACCACCCUUGCGUUACUGGGUUUCUAACCAUGGUCCAUGAUCUGGAUCGGGGACAAUGUCAGGUGGGGAGUUUGACUGGGGCGGUCGCCUCCGAAAGGGUAUCGGAGGCGCUCAAAGGUUCCCUCAGAAUGGUUGGAAACCAUUCGAAGAGUGCAAAGGCAGAAGGGAGCUUGACUGCGACACCGACGGGUGGAGCAGGUACGAAAGUAGGACUUAGUGAUCCGGUGGUAUGAAAGUGGGAUUGCCAUCGCUCAACGGAUAAAAGCUACCCUGGGGAUAACAGGCUUAUCACUCCCAAGAGUUCACAUCGACGGAGUGGUUUGGCACCUCGAUGUCGGCUCAUCGCAUCCUGGGGCUGAAGUAGGUCCCAAGGGUUGGGCUGUUCGCCCAUUAAAGUGGUACGCGAGCUGGGUUCAAAACGUCGUGAGACAGUUUGGUUCAUAUCCAUCGCGGGCGCAAGAAGUUUGAGAGGAGCUGCUCCUAGUACGAGAGGACCGGAGUGGACGGAUCAACGGUGUCCCAGUUGUCACGCCAGUGGCACGGCUGGAAAGCCGCAUCCGGGAAGGAUAAACGCUGAAAGCAUCUAAGCGCGAAGCCAACCUCAAGAUGAGACUUCUCAUCAGCAAUGAGUAAGACCCCUUACAGACGAUGAGGUAGAUAGGUUAUGAGUGGAAGAGCCGCAAGGCUUGGAGCGACAUAAAACUAAUAGGUCGAGGUCUUAACUU
rnacentral:rRNA from 1 species